GACAGAGGGUGCAAACGUUGCUCGGAAUCACUGGGCGUAAAGGGCGUGUAGGCGGGUAGAUAAGUCGGGCGUGAAAUCCCUAGGCUCAACCUAGGAACUGCACUCGAAACUGUUUAUCUUGAGUGCCGGAGAGGAAAGCGGAAUUCCUGGUGUAGAGGUGAAAUUCGUAGAUAUCAGGAGGAACACCAGUGGCGAAGGCGGCUUUCUGGACGGUAACUGACGCAUGAGAC
rnacentral:rRNA from 1 species